UUUACUUGUUUGUACUUUGUUUGUUAUUGUUGUUUUUCUUCUUGCAUGCACUCUUAACGACGUUUCGACUUGUGUUUUGUCUUCUUCAGGUUGUACAUGCAAGGAACCCCCCCAUGGCACCCCCUGUUCCAUCCUUCAGCUUCGACAGUACCGGACCAACUGCAGCAGGUUGUACAUGCAAGGAACCCCCCCAUGGCACCCCCUGUUCCAUCCUUCAGCUUCGACAGUACCGGACCAACUGCAGCAGGUAAGUAUAUUUCUUUCCUUUAUAUAGGCUUUUCUGUUUUUAGUUUUUCGUUAUCGUUAAUUUACGUUUUCCUUUUAAUUUAAGUUCGCUUCGCUGGGGUUUGGGGUAGGGUUAGGGUUAGGGUUAGGGUUGAGGAAAGGGACACGGUUCCAGGUAAGUAGCUUAGCUUAGCUUAAAUUCUAGGGGGACUGGGACAGUGGCCGAAUCCCGAGGAGGCACUGGCUGGUUAGGAUGAAGGUAAGAGCUGCCUCCCUCCUGGGAGACAGAAGUGCACUGUCCAUCACAAGGGGACGACCAGUGUCCCAGCCCCCUCCUAUGUUUAGGUUCGCCUUUGUUAUAUGAAGUAUAAACUAUCUUGUCUUUUCUUGCUUUCCUUGUUUGGUCUUUCUCAUCACCUUUCUUUUCUUUCCCUUACUUUCCUUUAAUGUCUCGAAUUUGAGCUUGAUAUCUUAAUUUAGAAUUUGUGUUAGUCUUUUCUUGACUUUGUUUACUUGUUUGUACUUUGUUUGUUAUUGUUGUUUUUCUUCUUGCAUGCACUCUUAACGACGUUUCGACUUGUGUUUUGUCUUCUUCAGGUUGUACAUGCAAGGAACCCCCCCAUGGCACCCCCUGUUCCAUCCUUCAGCUUCGACAGUACCGGACCAACUGCAGCAGGUUGUACAUGCAAGGAACCCCCCCAUGGCACCCCCUGUUCCAUCCUU